GACUGUUUACCAAAAACAUAGCCCUAGAUAUAAUCUAAGGUGUAACCUGCCCAGUGGUUUUUAAAUAAAAGAAAUAAAAGUUUUUAAAUAAAACUAAAAGGACGCGGUAACCUUGACCGUGAUAAUGUAGCAUAAUCACUCGCCAUUUAAUUGAUGGAUAGUAUGAAUGGUUGAACGAAUAUUCCACUGUCUUAAAAAGAAUUUAAAAAAAUUGAAAUAAUAGUUAAGAUGCUAUUUUAAACUGUAAGACGAAAAGACCCUAUAGAGCUUAACUAUAACCUCUAUUAUGUAAAAAGAAGUAAAUUUUCUAUUAAAAUAGAGGUUGGUAGUUUAGUUGGGGCGACUGUCUUCUAAAAAUAACGAAGAUAAGCAAUAUCAAUAAAGAUUAAUUGUAUAAUAUAAAGAUUUAACAAUUACUAAAGUAGGCUAUAAUGACCCGUUGCCCUUUAGAAAAAAAGACAACGAUCAAUUGAUAAAAGCUACCUUAGGGAUAACAGGAUAAUUUCAUUUUAGAGUUCAUAUCGAAAAUGAAGUUUGUCACCUCUAUGUUGAAUUAAGAUAUCCUGAUAAUGCAGAAGUUAUCAAAGGUAGGUCUGUUCGACCUUUAAAAUCUUACAUGAUUUGAGUUCAUUCC
rnacentral:rRNA from 1 species